CUUUUCCUUCUGUGUUGCAUGUGGCUGUAACGUGCAGAGGACUGAGUUUUACUCAUUUUAUUCUGUAUUCUCCUGUGUGUGUGUGUGUGUAAUUGACCAUCUCCUCCCCGCCUGCAAAACGAAUCAAGCUCCGGCACAGUGCUUCACUAAACCACACACGCACACAUACACACAAUACUUGGGUGUGUAAUAAAAUAACUCUAUACCUGAGUUGACUAGACUGGACAUGUUUUUACAGACACAGACAGCUCCACUGGCUUCAAGCAUUCCCCCUUACUCUUUUUCAAGGGGAAGGGCCUUUUCCUACAAUGCCCCUAGUUAUGGAACUCAUUACCUGCAUCUAUUAGGAAUGCUACAUCUUUGGAUUGUUUUAAGAAUCUACUUAAGACACAUCUUUUUAGUCAAGCCUUUAAUUUAUUACUGUGUAUUUUUUUUUUGAUAUGAUGUAUUUUUGCUUUGUGUAAUUUUUUUUUUUUGAUCUCAUUUUGUAUUUUGAGUUUGAGAAAGGCGCACUAUAAAUAAAAUUUAUUAUUAAUUAUUAUUAUUAAUGACGAGUAUACAUAUCAAAAACACAUUUACUCCAUCACCAUCAGUGCAAAAUGCACGCAUCGCAACCACCCAGAGAUGAUGCAUAUACUCUAAAUGUCAAACCACCUCUCCUGCAAGGACAUGGAUAUACUCUUCAUCUGAAGAUAGAUACCGGGGCAUCUGGAAACACUUCCACUGCGUACUUUCAAACAGAUGUAUGGUGCACCACAAAGCAUGGAAUGUCUAAAACCAGCAUCCAAUGUAAAUAGAAUAAAACUGACACAAGGGUUA